rnacentral:tRNA from 15 species
GCCCGCGUGGCGGAACGGUAGACGCGGUGGACUCAAAAUCCACUAAUCGCAAGAUUGUAGAGGUUCAAGUCCUCUCGCGGGCAC